rnacentral:rRNA from 1 species
GACGAACGCUGGCGGCGUGCUUAACACAUGCAAGUCGAACGGUGAAAGCGGAGCUUGCUCCGCUGGAUCAGUGGCGAACGGGUGAGUAACACGUGGGCAACCUGCCCCUGACUUCGGGAUAACUCCUCGAAAGAGGUGCUAAUACCGGAUACGAAUCCUGCAGGCAUCUUCGGGAUUGGCAAGUUUUUCGGUCAGGGAUGGGCCCGCGGCCUAUCAGCUUGUUGGUGAGGUAGUGGCUCACCAAGGCGACGACGGGUAGCCGGCCUGUGCGGGCGACCGGCCACACUGGGACUGCGACGGGGCCCAGAGUCCUACGAGAGGCAGCAGUGGGGAAUAUUGCGCAAUGGUCGAAAGACUGACGCAGCAACGCCGCGUGAGGGAUGACGGCAUUCGGGUUGUAAACCUCUUUCAGCAGGGAAGAAGCGAAAGUGACGGUACCUGCAGAAGAAGCACCGGCUAACUACGUGCCAGCCGCCGCGGUAA